GACAGAGGGUGCAAACGUUGUUCGGAAUUACUGGGCGUAAAGGGCGCGUAGGCGGCCUGCUAAGUCGAACGUGAAAUCCCCGGGCUCAACCCGGGAACUGCGUCCGAUACUGGUUGGCUUGAAUUCGGGAGAGGGAUGUGGAAUUCCAGGUGUAGCGGUGAAAUGCGUAGAUAUCUGGAGGAACACCGGUGGCGAAGGCGGCAUCCUGGACCGAUAUUGACGCUGAUGCGCGAAAGCCAGGGGAGCAAACGGG
rnacentral:rRNA from 1 species